rnacentral:rRNA from 1 species
CCUACGGGAGGCAGCAGUGGGGAAUAUUGCGCAAUGGGCGAAAGCCUGACGCAGCGACGCCGCGUGAGGGAUGAAGGUCUUCGGAUCGUAAACCUCUGUCAGCAGGGAAGAACGGUCACUGUGCUAAUCAGCAGUGAAUUGACGGUACCUGCAAAGGAAGCACCGGCUAACUCCGUGCCAGCAGCCGCGGUAAUACGGAGGGUGCGAGCGUUAAUCGGACUUACUGGGCGUAAAGCGCUCGUAGGGGGUAGGUCAAGUCAAGGGUGAAAUCCCCGCGCUCAACGUGGGAACUGGCUGUGCAACUGGGAAGCUGUGGUGUGUGAGAGAGUAGGGGAAAUCCAGGUGUAGGAGUGAAAACGGUAGAUAUCUGGAGGAACAUCAGUGGCGAAGGCGACUAUCUGGCACAUAACUGACGCUGAGGAGCGAAAGCGUGGGUAGCAAACAGGAUUAGAAACCCCGGGUAGUC